rnacentral:rRNA from 1 species
AUGGAGUGCGUGGUGCAGGGCAUCAUCGAGACCCAGCAUGUUGAAGCUCUGGAGGUUCUUCUCCAAGGCCUCUCUGGUGUCCCAAAGGAACGUGUGAGGGUGCAUGAGCUCUGUCUUAAAAGUGUACCAAUGCUAGAGGUUCGUUUGUUGUGUGAUUUAGCUCAGCCUACACCAUCCUGGACCAUAAGACAUGUUGGUGGUGCCAUGAGAGGUGCCGGUGCAGAGCAAAUCUCAAUUCUUGUGCGUACAAUCGUAGAAAGCAAAGCCAGCAGCAAUGUGUUACGUUACUUCUACGGCAUCGGCUACAAGUUAGAUCAUGAAAUCUUGAAGGUUGGCUUUGCGUUUCGCUUCCAGCGAGGUGCCCAGUUCACCGUGACUGUGACUUCUGCCAACAAGAUGCCAAAACUGCAUGCGACCGACGAAGCUGUGCAGGUCACUCCUGGAAUACAGCUGGUGGAGAUCACAGCACCAGCCGCUGCUAACAAUUACAAUGAUGUUGUUUCAGCUGUCACCUCAUUCUGUGAAUAUCUAGCGCCGCUGCUGCAUCUCUCUAAACCAGGCAAUUCAACUGGAAUCGUCCCGACUGCUGGUGCUGCUGCUGCCUCGCUCAUGUCAAGUGGUGGUGCGAAAACAUUGUAA